GACGAACGCUGGCGGCGUGCUUAACACAUGCAAGUCGAACGGAAAGGCCCUGCUUUUGUGGGGUGCUCGAGUGGCGAACGGGUGAGUAACACGUGAGUAACCUGCCCUUGACUUUGGGAUAACUUCAGGAAACUGGGGCUAAUACCGGAUAGGAGCUCCUGCUGCAUGGUGGGGGUUGGAAAGUUUCGGCGGUUGGGGAUGGACUCGCGGCUUAUCAGCUUGUUGGUGGGGUAGUGGCUUACCAAGGCUUUGACGGGUAGCCGGCCUGAGAGGGUGACCGGCCACAUUGGGACUGAGAUACGGCCCAGACUCCUACGGGAGGCAGCAGUGGGGAAUAUUGCACAAUGGGCGGACGCCUGAUGCAGCAACGCCGCGUGCGGGAUGACGGCCUUCGGGUUGUAAACCGCUUUCGCCUGUGACGAAGCGUGAGUGACGGUAAUGGGUAAAGAAGCACCGGCUAACUACGCG
rnacentral:rRNA from 1 species